UACGAAGGGGGCUAGCGUUGCUCGGAAUCACUGGGCGUAAAGGGUGCGUAGGCGGAUCUUUAAGCCAGGGGUGAAAUCCUGGAGCUCAACUCCAGAACUGCCUUUGAUACUGGGGAUCUUGAGUCCGGAAGAGGUGAGUGGAACUGCGAGUGUAGAGGUGAAAUUCGUAGAUAUUCGCAAGAACACCAGUGGCGAAGGCGGCUCACUGGCCGUGGUACUGACGCUGAGGUGCGAAAGCGUGGGGAGCAAACAGG
rnacentral:rRNA from 1 species